AGUGGCGGACGGGUGAGUAAUGCCUGGGAAACUGCCCGAUGGAGGGGGAUAACUACUGGAAACGGUAGCUAAUACCGCAUAACGUCUUCGGACCAAAGUGGGGGACCUUCGGGCCUCACACCAUCGGAUGUGCCCAGGUGGGAUUAGCUAGUAGGUGGGGUAAUGGCUCACCUAGGCGACGAUCCCUAGCUGGUCUGAGAGGAUGACCAGCCACACUGGAACUGAGACACGGUCCAGACUCCUACGGGAGGCAGCAGUGGGGAAUAUUGCACAAUGGGCGCAAGCCUGAUGCAGCCAUGCCGCGUGUAUGAAGAAGGCCUUCGGGUUGUAAAGUACUUUCAGUGGGGAGGAAGGCGGUGAGGUUAACAGCUUCGUCGAUUGACGUUACCCGCAGAAGAAGCACCGGCUAACUCCGUGCCAGCAGCCGCGGUAAUACGGAGGGUGCAAGCGUUAAUCGGAAUUACUGGGCGUAAAGCGCACGCACGCGGUCUGUCAAGUCGGAUGUGAAAUCCCCGGGCUCAACCUGGGAACUGCAUUCGAAACUGGCAGACUAGAGUCUUGUAGAGGGGGGUAAGAAUUCCAGUGUAGCGGUGAAAUGCGUAAAGAAUCUGGAGGAAUACCGGUGGCGAAGCGCCUCCUGGAACAAAGAACUGACGCUCAAGGUGGCGAAAGCGUGGGGGAGCAAACAG
rnacentral:rRNA from 1 species